AAGUUUAGGUUAGCCAAACUUAAAACCAAGGACCUUCAAAGCCCUAAACAGGGAUCAACCCCCUAACUUCUG
rnacentral:tRNA from 1 species